rnacentral:rRNA from 1 species
GUACGGGAGGCAGCAGUGGGGAAUAUUGGACAAUGGGCGAAAGCCUGAUCCAGCAAUGCCGCGUGAGUGAAGAAGGCCUUAGGGUUGUAAAGCUCUUUCGCCUGCGACGAUGAUGACGGUAGCAGGAGAAGAAGCCCCGGCUAAUUCCGUGCCAGCAGCCGCGGUAAUACGGAAGGGGCUAGCGUUGUUCGGAAUCACUGGGCGUAAAGCGCGCGUAGGCGGCUCUACAAGUGCGGCGUGAAAGUCCUGGGCUCAACCUGGGGACGGCGCUGCGGACUGUUGGGCUAGAGUCCGGAAGAGGGUGGUGGAAUUCCGAGUGUAGAGGUGAAAUUCGUAGAUAUUCGGAGGAACACCGGUGGCGAAGGCGGCCACCUGGUCCGGCACUGACGCUGAAGCGCGAAAGCGUGGGGAGCAAACAGGAUUAGAUACCCUAGUAGUCC